rnacentral:rRNA from 1 species
CCUACGGGAGGCAGCAGUGGGGAAUAUUGCACAAUGGGCGAAACCCUGAUGCAGCGACGCCGCGUGAGUGAAGAAGUAUUUCGGUAUGUAAAGCUCUAUCAGCAGGAACGAGACAAGACGGUACCUGACUAAUAAGCCCCGGCUAACUACGUGCCCGCAGCCGCGGUAAUACGUAGGGGGCAAGCGUUUUCCGAGAUCACUGGGUGUAAAGGGAGCGUAGACGGCGGAGCAAGUCUGAAGUGAAAGGCGGGGGCUCAACCCCCGGACUGCAUUGGAAACUGUACGGCUUGAGUACAGGAGAGGUAAGUGGAAUUCCUGGUGUAGCGGUGAAAUGCGUAGAUAUUAGGAGGAACACCAGUGGCGAAGGCGGCUUACUGGACUGUAACUGACGUUGAGGCUCGAAAGCGUGGGGAGCAAACAGGAUUAGAUACCCUUGUAGUC